UUUUAUUUGAGAGUUUGAUCCUGGCUCAGGAUGAACGCUGGCGGCGUGCCUAACACAUGCAAGUUGAGCGAUUUACUUCGGUAAAGAGCGGCGGACGGGUGAGUAACGCGUGGGUAACCUACCCUGUACACACGGAUAACAUACCGAAAGGUAUGCUAAUACGGGAUAAUAUAUUUGAGAGGCAUCUCUUGAAUAUCAAAGGUGAGCCAGUACAGGAUGGACCCGCGUCUGAUUAGCUAGUUGGUAAGGUAACGGCUUACCAAGGCGACGAUCAGUAGCCGACCUGAGAGGGUGAUCGGCCACAUUGGAACUGAGACACGGUCCAAACUCCUACGGGAGGCAGCCGUGGGGAAUAUUGCACAAUGGGCGAAAGCCUGAUGCAGCAACGCCGCGGGAGUGAUGAAGGCCUUCGUGGCGUAAAACUCUGUCCUCAAGGAAGAUAAUGACGGUACUUGAGGAGGAAGCCCCGGCUAACUACGUGCCAGCAGCCGCGGUAAUACGUAGGGGGCUAGCGUUAUCCG
rnacentral:rRNA from 1 species